UAGGGAAUCUUCGGCAAUGGGGCAANCCUGACCGAGCAACGCCGCGUGAGUGAAGAAGGUUUUCGGAUCGUAAAGCUCUGUUGUAAGUCAAGAACGAGUGUGAGAGUGGAAAGUUCACACUGUGACGGUAUCUUACCAGAAAGGGACGGCUAACUACGUGCCAGCAGCCGCGGUAAUACGUAGGUCCCGAGCGUUGUCCGGAUUUAUUGGGCGUAAAGCGAGCGCAGGCGGUUUGAUAAGUCUGAAGUUAAAGGCUGUGGCUCAACCAUAGUUCGCUUUGGAAACUGUCAAACUUGAGUGCAGAAGGGGAGAGUGGAAUUCCAUGUGUAGCGGUGAAAUGCGUAGAUAUAUGGAGGAACACCGGUGGCGAAAGCGGCUCUCUGGUCUGUAACUGACGCUGAGGCUCGAAAGCGUGGGGAGCGAACAGGAUUAGAUACCCUGGUAGUCCACGCCGUAAACGAUGAGUGCUAGGUGUUGGAUCCUUUCCGGGAUUCAGUGCCGCAGCUAACGCAUUAAGCACUCCGCCUGGGGAGUACGACCGCAAGGUUG
rnacentral:rRNA from 1 species